ensembl:lncRNA
AAACACUACUGUUAACACUCUUCUACCCAAGCUCAAUCCAAGUCCAGGACCCCCAACCUAUCCGUCUGUCUUUUGCUUUGCUAAAAGAUGCACACACAUGUGCACAGGCACACACACACACACACACACACACACACACACACACACACACACACACACACACCUUUUGUGUGUCUCUAAUCUCUGGAGACCCACCAGGACGACGGCAACGCCACCACCACAGUGUGUCAUGCAGGGUAUGAGAGUUGAUUCCGUCAAACACUAUGCAGGGAAACAUACACACACACGCACACAUUCACUCACACACACACACCGUGGAUUAAGCUACUGCAGGUCUGUACCACCGCCAACCCUAACCCCACCCCCCCCUCCCGCCUUCGCUCCUGGCCGGCUAUUAACCUCAACCUACCUACCUUGUUUCGUUGUUCCUCUCUCUCUCACGAUCACUGUGACUACAAGCCGUGCUGUAAUGACCAGGGCGGGCUCCACCAGAGGGACUCGAUUUGCUCAGUAUUGUUUCAUUGUGUGCCUCACAAAGGGUUUACGUUCCCGGGUGUACAACAUGCACGCUGCGCCGCCCAGCUUCGAUCUGAUUGGCUGUUCCGUUUUCUUUGGGAGAAUAUGGUCGUGGAGCUCUUGGGCUUGGGGCUAGCCUCGAAGCUAACGCAUCAAAGCUAUUUGUAAAUCGAUCCAUAAUCCGUCUCAUUUGGUUUGACGCCCGCAAGGUACUUUUUAUGUUUGUUAAAAGUAUAAAAAAAAACGUCAACGAAAAUCAACGACACGGUUAAGCCAAAUCUGAGGAUUCUAGUUAACCUUUCUUACACCAACCGAGUUUUAUACGAAAAAACAUUUUCUAUUUCCUCCUCUUUCGGUUGUCUUUUUUAUCGUCCCUUUUUCCAGCACAUUUCGGGUUCCCUUCCAGAAGAGGAGAUCAGAUCGGGGCGGGCUGCGCAGCUUCUCCGGGUGUCUCUCUCUCACAGACAAACACAGCCACUUAUUGACUCCUCCUCUUUCUUCUUCUACUUCUACUAAGACUAGAAUAAUCGCACCAGCACCUCCGAGCGCACUGCCUUCAAAGCCAUGAUCAGACGCACCAGCAAAAACGAGGGACAGACGAAUCUCAGUGGCCAUCCGCAUGCAGAAGCCAUUAAAUCAAGUCAUCGUGGGGUGGUGGUUGGUGGUACACAACACAACACAACAGAGGAAAAAAUAACAAUAAUCGUGGGAUCACACAACCCGAAAUCAGUUUGUAUUGCUCCUUAUUGUUUUUGCUACAGGGGAGAAUCAAAACAGGAGCAGUGAGACACAUCACACAUGUGAUCCGCUCGCAGUCCACUCGCUACUAUCAUGGACAGCCCCAUAUGGGGUUCCAGAUCCGACACAACAACUGAUCUCUGGCCAAGGCCACUGCAAUGUAAACAGUCCAGGCGGUAGGUCAGAUCUAUUGCACUCGUAAAAUGUCUGAUAUUAAUGUGCAGAUCUGUAAUGUGAACGCAAAGUGAUCUGACGGUCACCAAGGAACCGCAGAGCAUCGCGUUCAGAGGCCGGCCUCGCAAGGUCCCGGCCUCUUACCUCUUUUGCCAAAACAACAACCGCACACACACAGACGGGCACACACACUCUCUCCAUACACACACACACGCACGCACACACACAGCAGGCAGAACCACACACAGCUUCUUAUGCAAACUUGCGUUUGCUGAAAACAAACCAAACCCGAGUCACUGACGCCACUUUCCCAGGGAAUGCACUUCUUCGUUUCCACGACUCUCUCUUGUACCGCUGUCCAUCCUCUCCAUCCCCACCCUUCCCCUAGGUGUUUGUGAUUCGUCUUGUGGUUUAGUAGCCAGAACCCCCCUCCCACAACCCUCCUCUUCCUGCCCCCCCCCCCAUCUCCAUAAACGCCGUACCCCAUAUUGAUCCAGACACACCAGUCACUCGACGGUCUCUCUGCCCUAGGCCCAUCCUAGCACUUAGGCGUGGUGGAGGAAUCAAGAGGAGACGGACCCCGAGAGCGCGGAUGAUGUUUUUUCAAAUGGACGUCGGGACUCUACAGCCAUACGGAGAAAACUAAACCGAAAAUAUGUGGGGUUGUGUCGUUGAAAGGUGGAAACAGAAGUCAAGCUUUUUUAUUUUUAUUAUCGUCAUUUUCUAAAAAUGUUGCCUCACUUUAUUGGAGAAAAAAAACCCAAUGUCUUUGUAAAUGACAAAACGGCUGUGUAUGCACUUUCAGGUCACCCUCGGUGCAUCGUUGGCUACCCCACUCCACCCCCCCCCCGAAGCCCCCGCUGGCUCGCAUCGCAACUAUUCAAACGUUCAUCAUCUCUUUGGUGUUCACUGUUGAUUAUAUUUAGUGAUAUGCAAAUGACACUCUGUUACUGAAAUGACGAUGGGGGGGCUAUAGUGAAUGGCUGAAAUGACGACGCAAAGGCAAGGCAUAGGAAUACGUCACUGCAAUUCAACCAUGUCAAGUCAAAUGCGACCAAACCCAGAGUUGUCUGAAUAAAAUCAAUGUCAAUCCUC